rnacentral:rRNA from 1 species
UGAGCAAUCUGCCCUUCUCUUCGGAAUAAGCGUUGGAAACGACGUCUAAUGCCGAAUACGACCUCCUUUCGCAUGAUCGGAGGUGGAAAGCUCCGGCGGAGAAGGAUGAGCUCGCGGCCUAUCAGCUAGUUGGUGUGGGUAAUGGCCCACCAAGGCGACGACGGGUAGCCGGCCUGAGGAGGGUGACCCGGCCACACGUGGGACUGAGACACGGCCCAGACCUCCGUACGGGGAG